rnacentral:ncRNA from 1 species
GGGGAUCCCACCCAUGCAAGGGAACGUGAGCUGUGGUGUGGACCGUCGUGAGAAGGCUUAACGCACUACGUUCUAAUGACAAAACGUUGUUGCGACAGCAUCUAUUCUGUAGUACGAGAGGAACCGCAGGUACGGACCAAUGGCACAAUACUUGUUCGAGCGAACAGUGGUAUGACGCUACGUCCGUUGGAUUAUGCCUGAACGCCUCUAAGGUCGUAUCCGUGCUGGACUGCAAUGAUAAAUAAGGGGCAAUUUGCAUUGUAUGGCUUCUAAACCAUUUAAAGUUUAUAAUUUAUUUUAUAAACGACAAUGGAUGUGAUGCCAAUGUAAUUUGUAACAUAGUAAAUUAGGAGGAUCUUCGAUCACCUGAUGCCGCGCUAGUUACAUAUAAAAGCAUUAUUUAAUACAAUGACAAAGCCUAGAAUCAAUUGUAAACGACUUUUGUAACAGGCAAGGUGUUGUAAGUGGUUGAGCAGCUGCCAUACUGCGAUCCACUGAAGCUUAUCCUUUGCUUGAUGAUUCGA